CGACCGGCGCACGGGUGAGUAACGCGUAUCCAACCUUCCGUACACUCAGGGAUAGCCUUUCGAAAGAAAGAUUAAUACCUGAUGGUAUGAUGAGAUUGCAUGAUAGCAUCAUUAAAGAUUUAUCGGUGUACGAUGGGGAUGCGUUCCAUUAGGUAGUAGGCGGGGUAACGGCCCACCUAGCCAACGAUGGAUAGGGGUUCUGAGAGGAAGGUCCCCCACAUUGGAACUGAGACACGGUCCAAACUCCUACGGGAGGCAGCAGUGAGGAAUAUUGGUCAAUGGACGAGAGUCUGAACCAGCCAAGUAGCGUGAAGGAUGAAGGUCCUACGGAUUGUAAACUUCUUUUAUAAGGGAAUAAACCCUCCCACGUGUGGGAGCUUGUAUGUACCUUAUGAAUAAGCAUCGGCUAACUCCGUGCCAGCAGCCGCGGUAAUACGGAGGGUGCGAGCGUUAUCCGGAUUUAUUGGGUUUAAAGGGUGCGCAGACGGGUCGUUAAGUCAGCUGUGAAAGUUUGGGGCUCAACCUUAAAAUUGCAGUUGAUACUGGCGUCCUUGAGUGCGGUUGAGGUGUGCGGAAUUCGUGGUGUAGCGGUGAAAUGCUUAGAUAUCACGAAGAACUCCGAUUGCGAAGGCAGCACA
rnacentral:rRNA from 1 species